AGAAUGAACGUUGGCGGUGUGGAUUAGGCAUGCAAGUCGUGCGCGAAACGUAGCAAUACGUGGAGAGCGGCGAAAGGGAGAGUAAUACAUGGUUAGCUACCCUCGGGACUGGAAUAGCGGCGGGAAACUGCCGGUAAUGCCAGAUAACGUCUUCGGACCAAACGUGUAAACCGGCCCGAGGAGGCGACCGUGUCCUAUCAGCUUGUUGGCGGGUAACGGCCCACCAAGGCAAAGACGGGUAUGGGGCGUGAGAGCGUGCCCCCACUCACUGGGACUGAGAACUGCCCAGACACCUACGGGUGGCUGCAGUCGAGAAUCUUCGGCAAUGGGCGCAAGCCUGACCGAGCGACACCGCGUGCGGGAUGAAGGCCUUCGGGUUGUAAACCGCUGUCGUAGGGGAGGAAGGUCUGGUGUAUAGCCAGGCUUGACCGAUCCGUAGGAGGAAGGGCCGGCUAAGUCUCGUGCCCAGCAGCCGC
rnacentral:rRNA from 1 species